rnacentral:misc_RNA from 1 species
AGUCAAAAGAAAAAGAGAAAAAGAAAAAGAAUAGAAAAGUUGAGAAGGACACGCUGUACAGAGACCCAGUGCAUCUGACAAUAGAAUCCGUGAAACGUGUAAGAUGACAUGAGGGUUGCCCUCCGUUGGGGCCCAAAACUACUCGUCGGUUUCGAGAGGAUUAGUGAGGAAGGCGGUGGAGGGCCCCACAGGGAUUGGGCAGGGACACGUGGCAAUCGCGUCGGCAACAAGUCAAGAAGAAAGAAGGGUGUAUAAAGAUUUGCGACUGGUAGGUUUCCAG